rnacentral:lncRNA from 1 species
UACUGUGGAGUUGAAUUUCACUUCUUCUUUUUCCUGACAAUUUGAUUUAUAAAGAUGAUAUUAAGUAAUUUGAGAUAUCGUUACAUAAUUCACAAUUUAAACCUAAACCUUACUGAUUUUUACAAACUUUGAAUCUUGUCAAAAGAUUUUAAUACAAAAUAUGCCAAGGAGUUGUGAAUUAUGUGGAAUUCUCUCUUUGAGGCAUGGGAUUAAGAAAUUAAUUUGUUGUUGUCUCUUGUAUCUGAUUGCUGAUCAGUUACCACCGGUGGCGUUUGAGGGGGGAGGGGGUGGUUUGACCUGAGCCCCUUGUUUCUUUUUUUUCUUGGAUGGAAAUAUUAUAUUUUACCUCUGAGAAAUUGUACCUUGAGAGAUAUUUCACAAAUCUAUAACUUUAAACCAUGUCCUGCAUUAGUUUCACAUCCACACAUACCAUCUAUAUUUCUAGGCUCCUUCAAAUUUGUAACCACCCUGAACAUGAUCUUUGCAAAAAUAACCACCUAAAUUUUCACUUCACAAAACUAACCACCCUAAUUGUUUCACCCCCUCGGGCGAACACAAUAGCAGCCAAAAAAUUUCCAACGCCCCACCAAGAAACGAACACGUAAGGACAGUAUAACUGUGUUCGCCACAUGCAGAGGCGAACACAUAUUUCCACAUAUUUCACUUUACUUCUCUCAGAAUUUGAAAUUUCUUCCUUUUGCAUGCUACACCUACAUAUGCUGCAACCAUAUCUUGUUCAUUGCUGUAAAUGAUGCUCAGUGUUAGUAUGACUCAACACGCCCAAAAUACGAGAAAUUUAUAUGGUUUCUGUUAUUUUCUUGGCGGGGUUUUUGGUUUUUAAAGGAGAGGCUACUUUUGUUAACAGCGAUAAGAAAGCAUUGCUCAAUUUUUUGAGUAAUGUGAUAAUUUUUUAUUUUUCUAAAAUUAAAAACUGCAUUUAUUUGAUUUAUAAAAAAUCAAACAAAACUAAAGAAAUGUGAUUAUUUUAUUUAUGAAAAAUCAGAAAAACUAUAAAUUAAAUGUGUUGUUUCGUAAAUAUUGAAUUGAAUAUUAAUUGUAAAUUAAAUUUUUAUUGUAAGAAUAGCGGAGAAGAAAUUAUGAAUUUAUAUGGAUCGAAAAAAUAGUAAAAUUAUUCAUAUAUUAUAAAGUAAGGCAUCUAAUAUUAAUUAAUAUGUGAUCUUUCGGUAAUAUGAAUAUUUUUUGAGUAAAAAUAUUCAUAUUACAUUACAAUGAAUAUUCACCGAAAAAAUGAAUAUUUACUCAAAAUAUUUUAAUAAAAAAAUAUUUUAAUGAAUAUUUUGAGUAUAUUAUUCAAAAUUAAUUAAUAUUAAUUUGAGUAAAUAUUUUUACUCAUUUUUACUCAUUUACAAAAAAUAUUUUUUGUAAUAUUAAAUAAUAUUAAUAUUAACUCAUAUAAAUAUCAUGAAUUAAUUCAUGCAAUAUGAAUAUUUGAGUAAAUAUUUUUACUCAUUUUAUUUUGAGUAAAUAUUUUGAGUAUAUUAUUUUGAGUAAAAAUAUUCAUAUUACAAUAAAUAUUAAUAUUUUUACUAUUUUAAUAUUAUUAAUUCAUAACAUGAAUUAAUAUGAAUAUUUUUUGAGUAAAAAUAUUCAUAUUAUGAAUAUUUUUACUCAAAAAAUAUUCAUAUUACCGAAAAAAUCACAUAUUAAUUAAUAUUAGAUGCCUUACUUUAUAAUAUAUGAAUAAUUUUACUAUUUUUUCGAUCCAUAUAAAUUCAUAAUUUCUUCUCCGCUAUUCUUACAAUAAAAAUUUAAUUUACAAUUAAUACUCAAUUCAAUAUUUACGAAACAACACAUUUAAUUUAUAAUUUUUCUGAUUUUUUAUGAAUAAAAAAAUCACAUUUUUUUUAUUUUUUUUUGAUUUUUUUAUAAAUCAAAUAAACGCUGUUUUUGAUUUUUAAAAAAAUAAAAAACUAUCACAUUACUCAAAAAAUUGAGCAAUGCUUUCUUAUCGCUGUUAACAAAAGUAGCCUCUCCUUUAAAAACCAAAAACCCCGCCAAGAAAAUNUUGAUUUUUUUAUAAAUCAAAUAAACGCAGUUUUUGAUUUUAAAAAAAAUAAAAAACUAUCACAUUACUCAAAAAAUUGAGCAAUGCUUUCUUAUCGCUGUUAACAAAAGUAGCCUCCCCUUUAAAAACCAAAAACCCCGCCAAGAAAAUCACAGAAAUCAUAUAAAUUUCUCGCAUUUUGGGCGUGUUGAGUCAUACUUAAACACUGAGCAUCAUUUACAGCAAUGAACAAGGUAUGGUUACAGCAUAUACAGGUGUAGCGUGCAAAAGGAACAAAUUUCAAAUUCUAAGGGAAGUGAAGUGAAAUAUGUGGAAAUAUGUGUUCGCCUCUGGAUGUGGCGAACACAGUUAUACUGCCCUUACGUGUUCGUUUCUUGGUGGGGCGUUGGAAAUUUUUUGGCUGCUAUUGUGUUCGCCCGAGGGGUGAAACAAUUAGGGUGGUUAGUUUUGUGAAGUGAAAAUUUAGGUGGUUAUUUUUGCAAAAAUCAUGUUCAGGGUGGUUACAAAUUUGAAGGAGCCUAUAUUUCUAUGCUUACAGAAUCUGUGAAAAUGAUUGCUUUAUAAACUAGUACUCCUAUGAAAUACAGUACACUCAAAUUUAAAACCCCAUAUCCAAAAGAUGAAUCAGUUCAAAGGAAAUAAAUUAUGAUUUACUUUGUUUCAAUCCCCAUUCUUUGUCAUUUUCCAGACACACACCCAUGUGUAUGUCUACCUGUUAUGUGUGUUGUUUUUGAUACGUUGUAUACGCCAACGAGUUAAAUUUCCUUUUUCCUUGCAUUUCUUGGAAAAAGAAUAUUUUGGUUUGUGAAGGACAUUUGAAGUCGUUACUUUUGAGUUUAUGAAUUUAAAAUCAUACCAUAUAAAAAUGCCUUUUUGUGUCGUAGAUACUCAUUUGUCAGCUUAGUUCUAGUAUUGCUGUCUCUAAAAUGUCUUCCCAGCAUAUCAGCUGUUCACUGUAUUUCCUAUGAGGAAGUCUGCUUAUCAAUUUAAUUUUGGAAAUCCUUGAAGUAAAUAUUGACUUUUUAUUUAACUUGGUUCUACUUUAGAAGUUAUGCUAUUUAUAGUUUGAAUCUCAACAUUUUACAUUUUAGUGUUCUGUUCCUUGAAGUAAUUACCUUGCCUAGCACUAUAUACAUUUCAGUGUACAAGAAUGGGUUUUGAAGUCUGCCUUAUUUGCCUAGAGUAGUUCGAUCUAACAUGACGGACUGUACUACACUGCUUUACUCUUGUUUACAAGUAGC